UCGCUAAUUCCUGCAGUUCUGUGGUUGCACAAACUGGUGGUUCAUUUUGCUAAUUCUUGCGGUCUACAAUUUCUUUUUGUUUUGCUAAAACUGGUAAUUUUGGUUUGUCAGAAGAUGGUGAACUGUGGGAGUACUUCCCUUGCUCUUUCUGCUACAUCAAGGUCGAAAAAAGCCCUUCAUCUGCAUCCAUCUGCCGGAGGAACACUGCUUUGACAUCAGGAACGCUUUACUCCACUAGAGCCACUGCGGCCCCCGGCAGCCCAUGGUGGAGGAGUUCGUCGCGUCCAUCAGUCCAACCCCAUGGCUUCAGGGCGUCCGAGUUUCGUCGCGGCUAUCAGUUCGGACACCUGCGUCACUGCGUGUGUUGCAACCAUGGCCAUUUGUGUCAAUGCGUGCUCCGUCACCGGCCUCCUGCGCACCGUGACCCCUGCCACACUCCUUCCUCUCACUGAAGCCGCUCGUGCCCUCCCAGGCUUGAUAUCCUGCUGCAGCGAUGAGCUCCUGUACAUCGCCGAAGUUCCAUACCUGCUCAACGGCACCAGCACGAGGAUGCAGCAGCUAGGCUGAACCCCAGUUCGUGCCUCAAGGUCAAGUACGCGGACGCCUGCGAGGAGGCACCUUCAGUGCAGGUUCUCCGGUGCGCCAAGUAUUGCCGGCAGCGAUGCCUGCUUACGUCUUCCUCGUAUGAUUCGCCAAGGCCGCGUCCUCCUCUGAGAUAAGAAGAGCGACAAGGAGAGCACGGUCUUUUUUUCGUGGAGCUGGCGCUGCUGCAGUACGGCCUAGUCCAGUCUAAGGCCUCCAUGGUUGCUGCUGCUGUUUCCGCAACCAGGCUACCCCGAAGAAGACCCCUAUCACAAGUAGCAAUGGGGCUGACUGAGAGUGAUCCCUGAACCAUUUCAUUAAAGGCCAUGGUUUCCAAUAAUGCCAAUGCUACUAGAAAGGAACUAGAGGCCAUGAAGCCUCUUAGCUUCUCCA